rnacentral:rRNA from 1 species
UAACGUACCCUGAUCCUGGGAAUACCCUCGGAAACGAGGGCUAAUACCCGAAUGUGGCGAACGACCGGUUGGUCGCUCGCUAAAGGUGGCCUCUUCUAUGCUGCCGGGUUGGGAUCGGCCCGCGUCCCAUUAGCUAGUUGGUGAGGUAACGGCUCACCAAUGCCACGAUGGGUAGCCGGCCUGAGAGGGUGUACGGCCACACUGGCACUGAGACAAGGGCCAGUCCCCUAUGGGAGGCGCAGGCGGGAAUAGUUCACAAUGGGCGAAAGCCUGAUGACGCGACGCCGCGUGAGCGAAGAAGACCUUCGGGUUGUAAAGCUCUGUCAGGAGGGAAGAAGGCUCUACGGGUUAAUAGCCCGUGGAAUUGACGGUACCUCCAGAGGAAGCCCCGGCUAAAUACGUGCCAGCAGCCGCGGUAAUACGUAUGGGGCAAGCGUUGUCCGGAUUUACUGGGCGUAAAGGGCGCGUAGGCGGUUUGUUAAGUCGAAGGUGAAAUCCUCGGGCUCAACUCGAGAAUUGCCUUCGAUACUGGCAAACUAGAGUGGCGGAGAGGAAAGCGGAACUCUUGGUGUGACGGUGGAAUGUGUAGAUAUCAAGAGGAACACCGGUGGCGAAGGCGGCUUUCUGGACGCACACUGACGCUCAGGCGCGAAAGCGUGGGUAGCAAACAGGAAUUAGAUACCCUGGUAGUCCACGCCAUAAACGAUGGGUACUAGGUGUCGGGGGUAUCGGACCCCUCCGGUGCCGCAGUUAACGCACUAAGUACCCCGCCUGGGGAUUAUGUUCGCAAGGCUGAAACUCAAAGGAAUUGACGGGGCCCCGCACAAGCGGUGGAGCAUGUGGUUUAAUUCGACGCAACGCGAAGAACCUUACCUGGGCUUGACAUGCUUGGGACAGCGCUGGAAACAGCGUCUCUCCUUCGGGAGCCCUUGCACAGGUGCUGCAUGGCUGUCGUCAGCUCGUGUCGUGAGAUGUUGGGUUAAGUCCCGCAACGAGCGCAACCCUCGUUACUAGUUGCCAUCAGUUCGGCUGGGCACUCUAGUGAGACUGCCGGUGAUAAACCGGAGGAAGGUGAGGAUGAUGUCAAGUCAUCAUGGCCCUUACGCCCAGGGCUACACACGUGCUACAAUGGUCGGCACAAAGGGUCGCUAAGCCGCGAGGUGGAGCUAAUCCC